UCCGAGUUGACCCCGGCAGUCUCUCACGAGUCCCCGCCAUGACGCGCUGGCAACAUAAGAUAAGGGUUGCGCUCGUUGCGGGACUUAACCCAACAUCUCACGACACGAGCUGACGACAGCCAUGCAGCAUCUGUGGUGCACCCUCGAAGGUCACACGUUUCCGUGCGCUUGCAGCACCAUGUCAAGCCCAGGUAAGGUUCUUCGCGUUGCAUCGAAUUAAACCACAUGCUCCACUGCUUGUGCGGGUCCCCGUCAAUUCUUUUGAGUUUCAGCCUUGCGACUGUACUUCCCAGGCGGUAUACUUAACGCGUUAGCUUCGGCACAACCAGGGUUGAGUCCGGUUACACCAAGUAUACAUCGUUUACGGCAAGGACUAC
rnacentral:misc_RNA from 1 species